CAGUCGCCGCGGUAAGACAGAGGAUGCAAGCGUUAUCCGGAAUGAUUGGGCGUAAAGCGUCUGUAGGUGGCUUUUCAAGUCCACCGUCAAAUCCCAGGGCUCAACCCUGGACAGGCGGUGGAAACUACCAAGCUGGAGUACGGUAGGGGCAGAGGGAAUUUCCGGUGGAGCAGUGAAAUGCAUUGAGAUCAGAAAGAACACCAACGGCGAAAGCACUCUGCUGGGCCGACACUGACACUGAGAGACGAAAGCUAGGGGAGCAAAUGGAAUUAGAUACCCGGGUAGUCCCUGUCUCUUAUAC
rnacentral:rRNA from 1 species